rnacentral:rRNA from 1 species
UACGUAGGCAGCAAGCGUUGUUCGGAGUUACUGGGCGUAAAGGGUGUGUAGGCGGUUGGAUAAGUGUGGUGUGAAAUCUCCCGGCUCAACUGGGAGGGUGCGCUACAAACUGUCUGACUAGAGUGCGGGAUGGGAAAGUGGAAUUCCUGGUGUAGCGGUGAAAUGCGCAGAUAUCGGGAGGAACACCAAUGGCGAAGGCAGCUCGCUGGGACGGUACGUGACGCUGAGACGCGAAAGCGUGGGGAGCAAACAGG